rnacentral:rRNA from 1 species
AUGCCGAUGUGCAGAACAUGGGACGCGGCGGAGACUCUGUGUUACAAGCACAGUUACUGUUGCCGUCUCUUCCAGACAGAAAUUGUAGUUGAAGUUCAGUUAACUGAAGAUGAGACGCAGUCCAGGUCCAACCAAGACUUUGCCGCGACCAACUCCAGCCUGGUUCGAGCCAGGCAGGCGAACCAUUCGUGUGGCCCGUCUUUCCAGGACCACACGAGGCAUUCUUCUACGAUAGAUGAGGCGUUCUUCUCCGGAAGCUUUUCAGGGGCUCGUAUGCAACAUGGCCAGAUUUUUUCUUCAGUUUUAUAUACAGAGGUGGGCUGGGUGGAGGUAGAUUGCGCUGAUUUUUGA